UUGGUUACUGACUUAAUCGGUCAAGUUUUCGCUUUUCCGUACAUUAUAUAAUUUCACAAUUGAUUGUUUCGACUACAAGUAAUUAUAAAAUGGCUUUGAGUAUCAUCUCAAGUUCUGAAUAUGCAAAGGUGUUGCAGCACAUGACGACCAUUAUCCACUUUUGUGAGCAUGGCCCCAUCGACGAAAAUGGGAGGAGAAUGAGAAUUGUUAGCUGGAUAUUGACCUUUAUGCGGGGAAUCAAUGUCACUGUGGCAGAAUCUCGAUCCUGCAUAAGGGUCAUCCGCAAUUUUGAGGCCUCCCCAAUGACCCCAGCUACCUCAUCGACUUCACACAUCAUGUAUCCCUGGGAAGCUACCAAGUUUAUUUUAAAGUUCUGGACGAUCCAUUAGUACUCAGCUAAUAAAACUUGGGCUAAUCAUCCAAAAGUGAAAAGUAUAAGGGCGAUAUUGCACGAAUUUUAAGACAGGACAGAACUUUCAAGGGCCGACUUUUGUAUGGAAAGUGGAGAAAAUCUCUGGAAUUGAGAUUGGAUUUUCCGGAUCUGAACCAUAUCAUCGCCGCUAUGUUGCACUUGUACCCGCACUUUGAAAAUGAAGACAUUAGCCUUCCUGCAAUGCGAGCCCGUUGGGACACAGGUGACCUCACCAUCCACAACAUAAUCCACCCUGAAAAUGAAAAUGACAUGGACCACAGUGGCAAGGAAAAUUAAUUUUUUUUGUUUAAUUCCUUUCAAGCCCUAUCAACCCUUUCAAAGCAAGUACUUAAUAAUAAGCGUUUCGACUUUGUGUUUAGUGUACAAAAUGAAUAUCUUUCCGGUGCGUUUUUUUUAUAUUUAUAAAUAUUACAUUAUAUAAUACCAUAUGUAGAAGUUCCUAAUGUGAACUUCACAUUAGGAACUUACUUUAAGUAUGAA